GAGCAAGCUUGGUUAAUUUCACAGGUAACUAAAUUAUAGUACAUCCUAAACGUAAAUUUUCCUAGGGUUUUCAAUUAUUAUGAAUAUGUUUCUUUGAGUAAAUAAUGAAUUGAAAUUAACAAGAGAAUGAAAGCAAAUACAGAAAAAAAAAAUUCCUAGCUUGAUAAUCCUACAGUGGUGUUCUGCCAGUUGCAAGCUGGAUUUAAGAGGAAUGCUAUUACUAUGUUGAAGAAAUGAAUAGAUAAGAUGACUAUGGGUCUGGUUGGUGGUGUUGUUAGAGCUGCUAUGAGGAAUAACAAGAUCUUAAAUGUAUUAAUUAGAGGUAUUAGAAAUUAAUUUAAAAUUAAAUUUGAUAUGUUUUAGUCAUGAAAAUUCUAAGACAACUAACCAACUUUUUCAGUGGCAUCGAAAAUAGUGGUUUUUCUAAAAACCCGCUUUUUUGGACUUCCAACCUCAACCCCAAUUGGGGCUUUCAUAGUUUCUAUCUGGAUGUUUAACCGCUCUCCUUCUUAGUUUAUUUGCAUGGUCAUCUGAAAGUUAGAAGUUGUAUCGCUUAUUUUCAACCAAUUUCCUAUUAUUUGUUUUCUGAAGUGUUGGAACUUGUACUACAGUUUUAUUCUAAUGAGUAGUGUAAAAAUUAUAUCUUUUUUACAUAUGCUGGUCUGACUUAUGUUGCCUGUUUCAAGAUCUUGGCAAUGCGUCACCCGAG
rnacentral:misc_RNA from 1 species